rnacentral:rRNA from 3 species
AGCAUUUGCUGUACCGCGUUGACGGAGCGAAGCGACGUCAAACCGAUAAAACAGCAGUGUAAAGUGAGCCGCAGGGCGCUUUGCGCGACAGCGCAAAGGCAGGCGGUUUCGCGUAGCGAAAGCGAAUGCUUUGGGGUGGGGUGACUGCGUACCUUUUGUAUAAUGGGUCAGCGACUUAUAUUCUGUAGCAAGGUUAACCGAAUAGGGGAGCCGGAGGGAAACCGAGUCUUAAUUGGGCGUUAAGUUGCAGGGUAUAGACCCGAAACCCGGUGAUCUAGCCAUGGGCAGGUUGAAGGUUGGGUAACACUAACUGGAGGACCGAACCGACUAAUGUUGAAAAAUUAGCGGAUGACCUGUGGCUGGGGGUGAAAGGCCAAUCAAACCGGGAGAUAGCUGGUUCUCCCCGAAAGCUAUUUAGGUAGCGCCUCGUGAAUUCAUCUCCGGGGGUAGAGCACUGUUUCGGCUAGGGGGCCAUCCCGGCUUACCAACCCGAUGCAAACUGCGAAUACCGGAGAAUGUUAUCACGGGAGACACACGGCGGGUGCUAACGUCCGUCGUGAAGAGGGAAACAACCCAGACCGCCAGCUAAGGUCCCAAAGUCAUGGUUAAGUGGGAAACGAUGUGGGAAGGCCCAGACAGCCAGGAUGUUGGCUUAGAAGCAGCCAUCAUUUAAAGAAAGCGUAAUAGCUCACUGGUCGAGUCGGCCUGCGCGGAAGAUGUAACGGGGCUAAACCAUGCACCGAAGCUGCGGCAGCGACACUGUGUGUUGUUGGGUAGGGGAGCGUUCUGUAAGCCUGUGAAGGUGUGUCGUGAGGCAUGCUGGAGGUAUCAGAAGUGCGAAUGCUGACAUAAGUAACGAUAAAGCGGGUGAAAAGCCCGCUCGCCGGAAGACCAAGGGUUCCUGUCCAACGUUAAUCGGGGCAGGGUGAGUCGACCCCUAAGGCGAGGCCGAAAGGCGUAGUCGAUGGGAAACGGGUUAAUAUUCCCGUACUUGGUGUUACUGCGAAGGGGGGACGGAGAAGGCUAUGUUGGCCGGGCGACGGUUGUCCCGGUUUAAGCGUGUAGGUGUGUGUUCCAGGUAAAUCCGGUUCACUUUAACACUGAGGCGUGACGACGAGGCACUACGGUGCUGAAGCAACAAAUGCCCUGCUUCCAGGAAAAGCCUCUAAGCAUCAGGUAACAUCAAAUCGUACCCCAAACCGACACAGGUGGUCAGGUAGAGAAUACCAAGGCGCUUGAGAGAACUCGGGUGAAGGAACUAGGCAAAAUGGUGCCGUAACUUCGGGAGAAGGCACGCUGACACGUAGGUGAAGUGAUUUACUCAUGGAGCUGAAGUCAGUCGAAGAUACCAGCUGGCUGCAACUGUUUAUUAAAAACACAGCACUGUGCAAACACGAAAGUGGACGUAUACGGUGUGACGCCUGCCCGGUGCCGGAAGGUUAAUUGAUGGGGUCAGCGCAAGCGAAGCUCCUGAUCGAAGCCCCGGUAAACGGCGGCCGUAACUAUAACGGUCCUAAGGUAGCGAAAUUCCUUGUCGGGUAAGUUCCGACCUGCACGAAUGGCGUAAUGAUGGCCAGGCUGUCUCCACCCGAGACUCAGUGAAAUUGAACUCGCUGUGAAGAUGCAGUGUACCCGCGGCAAGACGGAAAGACCCCGUGAACCUUUACUAUAGCUUGACACUGAACAUUGAGCCUUGAUGUGUAGGAUAGGUGGGAGGCUUUGAAGUGUGGACGCCAGUCUGCAUGGAGCCGACCUUGAAAUACCACCCUUUAAUGUUUGAUGUUCUAACGUGGACCCGUUACCCGGGUUGCGGACAGUGUCUGGUGGGUAGUUUGACUGGGGCGGUCUCCUCCUAAAGAGUAACGGAGGAGCACGAAGGUUGGCUAAUCCUGGUCGGACAUCAGGAGGUUAGUGCAAUGGCAUAAGCCAGCUUGACUGCGAGCGUGACGGCGCGAGCAGGUGCGAAAGCAGGUCAUAGUGAUCCGGUGGUUCUGAAUGGAAGGGCCAUCGCUCAACGGAUAAAAGGUACUCCGGGGAUAACAGGCUGAUACCGCCCAAGAGUUCAUAUCGACGGCGGUGUUUGGCACCUCGAUGUCGGCUCAUCACAUCCUGGGGCUGAAGUAGGUCCCAAGGGUAUGGCUGUUCGCCAUUUAAAGUGGUACGCGAGCUGGGUUUAGAACGUCGUGAGACAGUUCGGUCCCUAUCUGCCGUGGGCGCUGGAGAACUGAGGGGGGCUGCUCCUAGUACGAGAGGACCGGAGUGGACGCAUCACUGGUGUUCGGGUUGUCAUGCCAAUGGCACUGCCCGGUAGCUAAAUGCGGAAGAGAUAAGUGCUGAAAGCAUCUAAGCACGAAACUUGCCCCGA